GCGUCUAGUNUAGCAUUAUACCGUGGAAACUGCGAAUGGCUCAUUAAAUCAGUUAUCGUUUAUUUGAUAAUACCUUACUACUUGGAUAACCGUGGUAAUUCUAGAGCUAAUACAUGCUAAAAACCCCAACUUCGGGAGGGGUGUAUUUAUUAGAUAAAAAACCAACGCCCUUCGGGGCUCCUUGGUGAAUCAUAAUAACUCAACGGAUCGCAUGGCCUUGCGCCGGCGACGGUUCAUUCAAAUUUCUGCCCUAUCAACUUUCGAUUGUAGGGUAUUGGCCUACAAUGGUAUCAACGGGUAACGGGGGAUCAUUGGUUCGAUUCCGGAGAGGGAGCCUGAGAAACGGCUACCACAUCCAAGGAAGGCAGCAGGCGCGCAAAUUACCCAAUCCCGACACGGGGAGGUAGUGACAAUAAAUACUGAUCCGGGGCUCUUUUGGGUCUCGGAAUUGGAAUGAGUACAAUUUAAAUCCCUUAACGAGGAACAAUUGGAGGGCAAGUCUGGUGCCAGCAGCCGCGGUAAUUCCAGCUCCAAUAGCGUAUAUUAAAGUUGUUGCAGUUAAAAAGCUCGUAGUUGAACCUUGGGCCUGGCUGGCCGGUCCGCCUCACCGCGUGCACUGGUCCGGCCGGGCCUUUCCUCCUGGGGAGCCGCAUGCCCUUCGCUGGGCGUGUCGGGGAACCAGGACUUUUACUGUGAAAAAAUUAGAGUGUUCAAAGCAGGCCUUUGCUCGGAUACAUUAGCAUGGAAUAAUGGAAUAGGACGUGUGGUUCUAUUUUGUUGGUUUCUAGGACCGCCGUAAUGAUUAAUAGGGAUAGUCGGGGGCGUCCGUAUUCAAUUGUCAGAGGUGAAAUUCUUGGAUUUAUUGAAGACGAACUACUGCGAAAGCAUUCGCCAAGGAUGUUUUCAUUAAUCAGUGAACGAAAGUUAGGGGAUCGAAGACGAUCAGAUACCGUCGUAGUCUUAACCGUAAACUAUGCCGACUAGGGAUCGGGCGAUGUUAUUCUUUUGACUCGCUCGGCACCUUACGAGAAAUCAAAGUUUUUG
rnacentral:rRNA from 1 species